rnacentral:piRNA from 1 species
CUCCAUCUCGGAGAGUUCUUCACUGC